rnacentral:lncRNA from 1 species
GGGAGGCAGAGUAUCAUUGAAUAGAGUGUCAUGUCAUAUUGCCUCAUUCUGCCCUGUUGCUGCAUGGUGGAAGCAGAAGACAGAAAAUCAAGAUUCCCCUUGGUCCCGCUGAUACGGGGAAGGAGUUUCACCCCAUAGCCACAACAGCUAGUAAUGUUCUGAGUUUCACCUGAAGCCAGCAAGUCUCAGAGGCUCACCCAAGACCCUGGAUGUAGGACCUGGGUAUCGGUUCUGAUUAAGACCGAAGAGUUCUUCAGUUAGCAGAUACAGCAUGCUUGGAAAUGUGGAAAAUGAUCUGGAAGGGGAGAAAAGAGGGCAGAGAGACCUUUUCAGAAGUUGGUGUGAUGUUCCAUGCAAGUAAUGGUGAGGACUUGAAUUGGGGUAGAAGCACGACCACAAAAUAGCCUGCUAACAACUGUGUAAACACUGAACCACAACAGCACUGGACCAUGUGGUUGAUUCCCCAAGAGGGUCUCACUCUGUCACCUAGGUAGAAGUGCAGUGGUGUCAUCAUGGCUCACUGCAGCCUUGAUCUCCUGGGAUCAAGCAAUUCUCCCACUUCAGCCUCCCAUGUAGCUGGGACUACAGGCACAUGCCACCACACCCAUAUAAUUAUUAUUAUUAUUUUUUGUAUACACAGGGUCCCACUGAGUUGCCCAAGGCUAGUCUCAAACUUGUGCACUCAAGGGAUCCUCCUGCCUCAGCCUCCCAAAGAGCUGGGAUUACAAGCAUAAUCCACUGUACCCAGCCUGUAAUCCACUGUAUUUCUUUUUUUCAGCAUCCUAAAUAAUACUGUAGUGGAUAUCUUUUUGCAGUAACUUAUUAAAUCUAUAGAACUUUGCACAUAUUAAUAAUUAAUGAGACAUUAAUUGCUAUGAAAGUCUCAUGCAAUUAAAGAUGACAAAACACAGAAAGAUAUUUAGUGUUACAGUUCCAAUAGUUAAUCUUGUGUGUUUGAGAUGACUGUGUUAAGGGGGUCAUAACUGCAAAAUGUCUUCAAUAUGUUGUAACUGAUAUCUCAAUUGCUACUGAUAAGAACUUAUUUCUAAAACGUAGAAAUUUAAAGAAACUAUCUUUCGGCAAUCUGCCAAAAACUUUUUAAUAUGUUCAGAACAAAUUAAAUGGAAGAAUAUUUGCAAGGAUCCAAAACACUCCCAUUAUUCAUAAAAUGAUGGAAAUAUGAUAAACACAUUUUAGAAAUAUAAAAUUAAUCCCUGUGGCAGAGCUUAAUUAGUGGACAACUAUUCAGUAAAAUCUCAGUUAUUCUCUUCUUUCUGAGCACUUCUCUAGGCUAUAUUCACAAGCUUUCCUUGCAGUUUAAUGUGGCCAAAAGAUUGAGCUCUAACAGAAUUAAAGUGAAAGUGAUUUCUGCCCUGUCUAGGGAUUACCCCAGAUAUCUUUCACACAUGACCUUCUACAAUCUGUGUCUUUCCACUGUCUUGAUAAGGAUGAUCACAAUAACCUGGGAAGCUAUUUGUUGAAGAUAGAAGAGCCAGAUAUGGAGGAGUUUAUUUCUCUAAAUUGUCACUUAGAGGAGAUCUUUAUAACAACAUUAAUUUUGAAUGUUUUGCAAAUAAGAAAUAAACUUCUAUAUGUUUGAGACAUAUCACAUUUGGGGGUUUAUUCAUUACAGUUGCUAUUUGUUAUAGUUUUGCCUUAAAUAAUGC